rnacentral:rRNA from 1 species
GACCGUGCGAAGGUAGCGCAAUCACUUGUCUUUUAAAUGAAGACCUGUAUGAAUGGCACGACGAGGGCUUGACUGUCUCCUUCCUCCAGUCAAUGAAAUUGAUCUCCCCGUGCAGAAGCGGGGAUUUUUACAUAAGACGAGAAGACCCUAUGGAGCUUUAGACUUUUAAGGCAGACUAUGUUAAACACUCAAGAACAAAAGACCAAACGGUAUACACACUGCCCUUAAUGUCUUUGGUUGGGGCGACCCUGGGGAACUACUAAACCCCCAUGAAGACAGGGAGAACGCACUCCUACAAACAAGAGCCACAGCUCUAGCUUACAGAAUUUCUAACUUAUAUGAUCCGGCCAUGCCGAUCAACGGACCGAGUUACCCUAGGGGAUAACAGCGCAAUCCUCUUUUAGAGCUCCUAUCGACAAGAGGGUUUACGACCUCGAUGUUGGAUCAGGACAUCCUAAUGGGUGCAGCCGCUAUUAA